GACGAACGCUGGCGGCGUGCCUAAUACAUGCAAGUAGAACGCACAGUUUAUACCGUAGCUUGCUACACCAUAGACUGUGAGUUGCGAACGGGUGAGUAACGCGUAGGUAACCUGCCUGGUAGCGGGGGAUAACUAUUGGAAACGAUAGCUAAUACCGCAUAAUAUUAAUUAUUGCAUGAUAAUUAAUUGAAAGGUGCAAUUGCACCACUACCAGAUGGACCUGCGUUGUAUUAGCUAGUAGGUGAGGUAACGGCUCACCUAGGCGACGAUACAUAGCCGACCUGAGAGGGUGAUCGGCCACACUGGGACUGAGGCACGGCCCAGACUCCUACGGGAGGCAGCAGUAGGGAAUCUUCGGCAAUGGACGAAAGUCUGACCGAGCAACGCCGCGUGAGUGAAGAAGGUUUUCGGAUCGUAAGGCUCUGUUGUAAGAGAAGAACGGGUGUGAGAGUGGAAAGUUCACACUGUGACGGUAUCUUACCAGAAAGGGACGGCUAACUACGUG
rnacentral:rRNA from 1 species